GGGUGGUAAUGCCGGAUGCUCCAUCACACCGCAUGGUGUGUUGGGAAAGCCUUUGCGGCAUGGGAUGGGGUCGCGUCCUAUCAGCUUGAUGGCGGGGUAACGGCCCACCAUGGCUUCGACGGGUAGCCGGCCUGAGAGGGCGACCGGCCACAUUGGGACUGAGAUACGGCCCAGACUCCUACGGGAGGCAGCAGUGGGGAAUAUUGCACAAUGGGCGCAAGCCUGAUGCAGCGACGCCGCGUGAGGGAUGGAGGCCUUCGGGUUGUAAACCUCUUUUGUUAGGGAGCAAGGCAUUUUGUGUUGAGUGUACCUUUCGAAUAAGCACCGGCUAACUACGUGCCAGCAGCCGCGGUAAUACGUAGGGUGCAAGCGUUAUCCGGAAUUAUUGGGCGUAAAGGGCUCGUAGGCGGUUCGUCGCGUCCGGUGUGAAAGUCCAUCGCUUAACGGUGGAUCCGCGCCGGGUACGGGCGGGCUUGAGUGCGGUAGGGGAGACUGGAAUUCCCGGUGUAACGGUGGAAUGUGUAGAUAUCGGG
rnacentral:rRNA from 1 species